rnacentral:lncRNA from 1 species
ACACUCGCCUGGGUCUCCGGUUGGCGGCUCGGACGGAGUUCAUUUGCCGGGCUGAGGUGGCGGCGUUGGCGGAGGGACACACACACGCACACGCACAGCGAGCUUCGGGGCAGGAGAAAGGGGUCCCACAAACUGCAAGGAAAAGAAAAACCCUCAACAGGAAUUACCUUUAUACCUGAUGCCCCCAACAUAAUCUCUCUCCAAGGGAAACGUGUUUUUAUUGCCUUGCGGCUGAAAAUGUAUUCUCGAUUCU